rnacentral:rRNA from 1 species
GUGAAGCGGGAAGAGCUCAAAUUUGAAAUCUGGCGGCAUCCUGUCGUCCGAGUUGUAAUCUAUAGAAGUGUUUUCCGCGCCGGACCAUGUACAAGUCCCUUGGAACAGGGCGUCAUAGAGGGUGAGAAUCCCGUCCUUGACAUGAUCUCCGGUUGCUAUGUGAUACACUUUCAACGAGUCGAGUUGUUUGGGAAUGCAGCUCAAAAAGGGUGGUGAAUUCCAUCUAAAGCUAAAUAUUGGCGAGAGACCGAUAGCGAACAAGUACCGUGAGGGAAAGAUGAAAAGCACUUUGGAAAGAGAGUUAAACAGUACGUGAAAUUGUUGAAAGGGAAACGAUUGAAGUCAGUCAUGCUCUUUGGGUUAAGCCUUUCGGGGUGUAUUCCAUUGAGUGGGGUCAACAUCAGUUUUGACCGCUGGAAAAAGGCACGAGGAAGGUAGCACUCUCGGGUGAACUUAUAGCCUCGCGUCAUAUACAGUGGUUGGGACUGAGGAACGCAGCAUGCCUUAUGGCCGGGAUUCGUCCACGUACAUGCUUAGGAUGUUGACAUAAUGGCUUUAAACGACCCGUCUUGAAACACGGACC